rnacentral:rRNA from 1 species
GCGGCAGCGCGGGGCAACCUGGCGGCGAGCGGCGAACGGGUGAGUAAUGCAUCGGAACAUGUCCAUGGAUGGGGGAUAGCCCGGCGAAAGCCGGAUUAAUACCGCAUGAGCCCGAGAGGGGAAAGUGGGGGACCGCAAGGCCUCACGUCGAUGGGUUGGCCGAUGCCCGAUUAGCUAGUUGGUGAGGUAAUGGCUCACCAAGGCGAUGAUCGGUAGCUGGUCUGAGAGGAUGAUCAGCCACACUGGGACUGAGACACGGCCCAGACUCCCACGGGAGGCAGCAGUGGGGAAUUUUGGACAAUGGGGGCAACCCUGAUCCAGCCAUUCCGCGUGAGUGAAGAAGGCCUUCGGGUUGUAAAGCUCUUUUGUCCGGAGCGAAAAGGUUACGGUGAAUAUCCGUGACUACUGACGGUACCGGAAGAAUAAGCACCGGCUAACUACGUGCCAGCAGCCGCGGUAAUACGUAGGGUGCGAGCGUUAAUCGGAAUUACUGGGCGUAAAGCGUGCGCAGGCGGUUUUGUAAGCCAGAUGUGAAAGCCCCGGGCUCAACCUGGGAAUGGCAUUUGGGACUGCAAGGCUUGAGUGCGGCAGAGGAGACUGGAAUUCCUGGUGUAGCAGUGAAAUGCGUAGAUAUCAGGAGGAAUACCGAUGGCGAAGGCAGGUCUCUGGGCUGACACUGACGCUCAUGCACGAAAGCGUGGGGAGCAAACAGGAUUAGAUACCCUGGUAGUCCACGUCCUAAACGAUGUCGACUGGUUGUUGGGGGGUUUGACACUCUCAGUAACGAAGCUAACGCGUGAAGUCGACCGCC